CCCGCGAGGGGGAAUCUGAAGGCAGCCCGAGGCAAAACGCUGGCCUGACGAACAGGAAGCGGAUAUGAGGCGUCAUGGCGGGGUGAGAUGGCACGCAUCAUCAAAGCCCAGUACUUGCACGGAACGCCAUGACGUAAAUCCGACAGGCAUAAGCGGGAAGGU
rnacentral:ncRNA from 1 species